UGGGGAAUAUUGCACAAUGGGCGCAAGCCUGAUGCAGCCAUGCCGCGUGUGUGAAGAAGGCCUUCGGGUUGUAAAGCACUUUCAGUCGUGAGGAAGGUAGUGUAGUUAAUAGCUGCAUUAUUUGACGUUAGCGACAGAAGAAGCACCGGCUAACUCCGUGCCAGCAGCCGCGGUAAUACGGAGGGUGCGAGCGUUAAUCGGAAUUACUGGGCGUAAAGCGCAUGCAGGUGGUUUGUUAAGUCAGAUGUGAAAGCCCGGGGCUCAACCUCGGAAUUGCAUUUGAAACUGGCAGACUAGAGUACUGUAGAGGGGGGUAGAAUUUCAGGUGUAGCGGUGAAAUGCGUAGAGAUCUGAAGGAAUACCGGUGGCGAAGGCGGCCCCCUGGACAGAUACUGACACUCAGAUGCGAAAGCGUGGGGAGCAAACAGGAUUAGAUACCCUGGUAGUCCACGCCGUAAACGAUGUCUACUUGGAGGUUGUGGCCUUGAGCCG
rnacentral:rRNA from 1 species